rnacentral:rRNA from 1 species
GCCAACCCAUGGCAAGGUCGAGGCGGACCGACGGGAGCUUGCUCCCUUAGGUCAGCGGCGGACGGGUGAGUAACACGUGGGUAACCUGCCUGUAAGACUGGGAUAACUCCGGGAAACCGGGGCUAAUACCGGAUGCUUGAUUGAACCGCAUGGUUCAAUCAUAAAAGGUGGCUUUUAGCUACCACUUACAGAUGGACCCGCGGCGCAUUAGCUAGUUGGUGAGGUAACGGCUCACCAAGGCGACGAUGCGUAGCCGACCUGAGAGGGUGAUCGGCCACACUGGGACUGAAACACGGCCCAGACUCCUACGGGAGGCAGCAGUAGGGAAUCUUCCGCAAUGGACGAAAGUCUGACGGAACAACGCCGCGUGAGUGAUGAAGGUUUUCGGAUCGUAAAACUCUGUUGUUAGGGAAGAACAAGUACCGUUCGAAUAGGGCGGUACCUUGACGGUACCUAACCAGAAAGCCACGGCUAACUACGUGCCAGCAGCCGCGGUAAUACGUAGGUGGCAAGCGUUGUCCGGAAUUAUUGGGCGUAAAGCGCGCGCAGGCGGUUUCUUAAGUCUGAUGUGAAAGCCCCCGGCUCAACCGGGGAGGGUCAUUGGAAACUGGGGAACUUGAGUGCAGAAGAGGAGAGUGGAAUUCCACGUGUAGCGGUGAAAUGCGUAGAGAUGUGGAGGAACACCAGUGGCGAAGGCGACUCUCUGGUCUGUAACUGACGCUGAGGCGCGAAAGCGUGGGGAGCGAACAGGAUUAGAUACCCUGGUAGUCCACGCCGUAAACGAUGAGUGCUAAGUGUUAGAGGGUUUCCGCCCUUUAGUGCUGCAGCAAACGCAUUAAGCACUCCGCCUGGGGAGUACGGUCGCAAGACUGAAACUCAAAGGAAUUGACGGGGGCCCGCACAAGCGGUGGAGCAUGUGGUUUAAUUCGAAGCAACGCGAGACCUUUACA